AUACAGAGGGUGCGAGCGUUAAUCGGAAUUACUGGGCGUAAAGCGCGCGUAGGCGGAUUGUUAAGUCUCAUGUGAAAGCCCUGGGCUCAACCUGGGAACUGCAUGGGAUACUGGCAAUCUAGAAUACAGUAGAGGGUAGUGGAAUUUCAGGUGUAGCGGUGAAAUGCGUAGAGAUCUGAAGGAACAUCAGUGGCGAAGGCGACUACCUGGACUGAUAUUGACGCUGAGGUGCGAAAGCGUGGGGAGCAAACGGGAUUAGAAACCCCAGUAGUCC
rnacentral:rRNA from 1 species